rnacentral:rRNA from 1 species
UACGUAGGGGGCAAGCGUUGUCCGGAUUUAUUGGGCGUAAAGAGCGUGUAGGCGGCCAGGUAGGUCAGCUGUGAAAACUCGAGGCUCAACCUCGAGACGCCGGUUGAAACCAUCUGGCUAGAGUCCGGAAGAGGAGAGUGGAAUUCCUGGUGUAGCGGUGAAAUGCGCAGAUAUCAGGAGGAACACCAAUUGCGAAGGCAGCUCGCUGGGACGUAACUGACGCUGAGACGCGAAAGCGUGGGGAGCGAACAGG